GAUGCAGGAUCAUCAAAUGAAAUCUUAGUGAAAGAACCCAGAAAAUCCCGUGGUUUCUGCACUUCAGACCAUAUAAAAUCUGAUGCCAGACCAACUUUCUCCAGUACCGUGACUCCAGGCGCAUACCCGCCACGAGUUCUCUUCUUUGCACUCUUAGGAUCAAGUACAUCCGUAGGCAUGCUCUUCUCUGGAUCCACACUGAACAGGUGCUUGAUAUCAAGAAGCUCUGGUUGAAUCUUUGCAGGGGCUUUGUACUUCAGGCAGAUGAUGUAAAUUUCAGCCGAUGUGCCACGACUCGCUCUAGGUUUAGUCACCUCGACCUUUUCAAACAGCUGCUUCAGGCAGAACAUGAUGGCGCUGUAAUCCUGAGACCUGAAGACCUUGGUGGUGACGAAGGUGCCAUUGGGGGCGAGGAACGCGGUGGCCAGGCGGACGGCGUCGAUGACGAGCGCGGACUGCGCGGUGGCCUCCUGCGCCCACGCGCCGCCGACGUUGGGCGAGCCGUCAUGGAGGACGACGUCGAAGGCGGCGACCCCCUUGGAAUCCAUGAACCUCCGCACGGCGGAGCGGCACUUGGUGGUGGUGAUAUCCUCCGUGAGCGAGUGCGCGCCGCGGACGGGGCGGAUGGGCACGAGGUCGACGCCGACGACGAAUGCGCCGACGCGGGCGCGGGCGACGGCCACCUGGACCCACCCACCCGGCGCCGCGCAGAGGUCAAGCACGGCGCGCGCCGCCGGGAGGAACCGGAAGCGGUCGUCGAGCUGCUGCAGCUUGAAGGCCUUCCAAAUUCGGACUGAGCUGUUAUAUAGUACGUCCUGCGGCGUGCCAAGGUUACGAGCCUUCCAAAUCCUCAGUUAUGGCUGCUACAGCGUUUUCGAUUCCGGCGCCGUGGUCAGAACUCCCGCUGGACGUACUAGACCUCGUCAUCGACCGCCUCAUAUCCUCCCCUCCACGGAGAGGCUUCUUCUCCUCUGCGUGGUGGCAAGUCCGACGGGUCCUUGGUUUCUCCGUUGACUUCGAGAAGGUGCGACGCGACCGUCAUUGGGUCUCUGCCGCCGAUCGAGCCCGCUUCCGUGUGGUGUGCCGUUCGUGGCAUCUGGCUAUGCGACGGCACCUUUCGGCUUCACGACAGCUACCCUGGAUUGUCAUGUCAGACGGCUCGUUCUACACACCUUCAGACGCUGUUUGCACCUCGCCGUCCCGGCUCCCCACCUUGCCCAGCAACACAACGUGCAUUGGCUCCACCGACGAUUGGCUCGCCCUCGACUUCAUCGACGCCAAGAAGAUGCAUAGCUACUACUUGCACAAUCCGUUUGCUGGCACCAUUCUGCCGCUCCCCGAGCUGGAUGCUGUCAUUGGCCAAGUUUCUGAGCUUUUCGAGGCCCGUAAAGUGCUCAUGCGAUCAAUGCCUUCGGACAUCGUCGCUGUCAUGACCAAUAACUGGAAUCAUCCCCUCAUCUUAAUCCGUCCAGGGAAAGGUGUGUGGUUGCCUGAGCCACAAAGUGCUCCUUUCGUGGACAUCGUUGACAUUGCUUUUCUUGGCGAUAAAUUAUAUGGAAUCAUCGAGGCAGAGGACCUUGUUUCUCUCGGUAUAGAAUUUAAUAGUGAUGGCAAUGCCCACGGUUACUAGCACCGAGUACCUCAUUAGGCACCCAUUGGCAAAUUCAAGUCGCGGUGUGUGGCGCGAAGUUGACGAUAACUUUGAUUCCAGCAACAAUGAUAAGGGCGGUAAGGAUGAGGUCACAAAUAGUUUUGAGGACCAUACCGAGGCAGUGAGCGAGGAUUCUGAGGAGCGUGCCUUAGAUGAACUUCGAAAGAAAACUGGCGAUGACAUGAUUCUCGAGGGCGCUACAAGUUGGUUAGAUGACGAUGUUCCUUAUGAACCCAAGGAUAUCAUCACCGUCAUUCGAUACCUGAUUGAGUCACAUGGGAAACUGCUCAUGGUGAAGAGACAAUUGCAUUGGCCUCCAUAUAGUAUCAACUUCACUAGCAAGGUGGAGGUUUACAAGAUGGAUGUCAACGAUGACAUGCACUGGGUGCCAGUUUCAGGUGGGCUAAGCGGCAAAGCACUUUUCAUCAGCAGAUUCUUCUGCAAGUCCAUUCAUACCUGUGAAGAAGGGGACCGUGAUGCUCUUCAUUUUAUCGACAGUGGUGAAAAAUACGAUAUGAAAUCCCAAAUUGUGAGCCCGAGCUGGAGAGAUAUUGAUCUCUAUAGGUCCACAUGGAUAUUUUCUCAGGAGCUAGUGGUUUGAUAAUAUUUGUAAUAAUAUAUCAUCAGUUAGCUAGGUGAUCCACCGGAUCUUUUCUUGAAAUUAGUGGUUUAAUAAUUUCUAUAACACCAUAUAUUUAUUUGUGAGAGACGACAAGGCGUCCUUUUAUGCAUAAGAAGUGUACAUAGUAGAUACUCGACUUCCAUCAGAUCAAUUUCCGUGCUUCAUGUAAAGUUGUUACAUUUCUCAAACGAUCAACAGCCUAAUGAGUUCUAAUGAAAUAUACAUGCCGCUCAGAAGUUAUGCACGAACAAAAUUGAUGCAUAUAUGUAACAAUAUAAUUGGGUUCGUCAGAACUAAUUAAUGUUUGUUUUAUGGAAAAAAACAUUUGCACUUGUUUUUCAGUUAGUUGGGUUGUUAGAUUGCUCCUUCUCUUUCUGUUGAUUGAUUAUGAUCUUUUGAGUGCAGAAUGUUAACAAAUUGCUGCAUCAUCAUGGCUAAGCCACCUCUUAACUUGAAGAGUAGCAUAAUGUGUGUCCGCUUAAUAUUAUCAGCUAUACAUGCUUCAUGGAUUAUUCGAAUUUUAUUUAGGGGAGGAUUUUAUGGUUUAUAUUCAAACAUGUGAACACCGCUAUUAUAUGAUAAAACUUCUAAUUCCAUGCUAUUAUAUGCUUCUUUUCCUAACUGACGGAACACAAUGUAUAAUAGAGCAUGUUUGAAUAUAAACUUCUAAUUCCAUGCUAUUAUAUGCUUCUAAUUCCAUUGCUCGGAUCUCACAUAAUGCCUAGUUACUCAUUCAUGCCUUGCUAAACUAACUUGACUCAAUGGUCAAUGCCUUGCUAAAUUAACUCUGCUGCUGAACUUCUUCUCAGCUUUCCCUCGCAUGCCUCAUUUCUUCUGGUUGGCGGAACCCUUCAUCCCUUCCCCCCUUUAGCGCCUCCUUUGCCACCCUUCCCCUUCUUCCUGCUUCUGUGAACAUAUCCUGACUGAACCACUGCUUUACAAUCUUGCUCUUCUGUUGGUUUCUCUGUAUCUAGACAUAAUAAAAGGGGGCUAUAGUCUCUUGGUCUUGAUCUUCAUUAGAACCUUGAUCCAUGCCAAUGUCGCCACCAUCAUCUUCACCCCCCUCUAACGAACCUGCAUCAGCAUCAGGAUCGAUUCGCUUGGCUCGUUUGUCUUCUUGUUUUACUUCUUCACCCUUUUUGGUCACAUAACGCACAUAAGCUUCAUCAAGCAUCUCCUCCAGUUGGUGUUCUUCAUCAGAAUCCAUUUCUUCCAUUUCCUGUAAAAGCUGAACAUCAUCUUUGACCUUUGGUGUAACCUGCGAAGAUGAUGGCUACGCUUUCCUUAUGCGUGUGCGCCACUUCAAGAUACGCUUGAAGCUAUUUUUAUCCAGCACCUGCAAAUCCUCACAAAGGUAUUUUACCUCAUCUGUGGGGAGCUCAUGGUUCUUGAUAGGCAGAGAUGCAGGAUCAUCAAAUGAAAUCUUAGUGAAAGAACCAAGGAAUUCCCGGGGUUUCUGUGCCUCGGACCAUAUGAAAUCUGAUGCAAGGCCAAUCUUCUCCAGUACCGUGACUCCAGGCUCAUACCCGUCACGAGUUCUCUUCUUUGCACUCUUAGGAUCAAGCACAUCCGUAGGCAUGCUCUUCUCUGGAUCCACGCUGAACAGGUGCUUGAUAUCAAGAAGCACCGGUUGAAUCU
rnacentral:lncRNA from 1 species